rnacentral:rRNA from 1 species
CUACUACCGAUUGAAUGGCUCAGUGAGGCUUUCGGACUGGCCUAAGGAGAGUGGCAACACUCACCUAGGGCCGGAAAGUUAUCCAAACUCGGUCAUUUAGAGGAAGUGAAAGUCGUAACAAGGUU